rnacentral:rRNA from 1 species
GAUGAACGCUGGCGGCGUGCCUAAUACAUGCAAGUCGAGCGAACGGACGAGAAGCUUGCUUCUCUGAUGUUAGCGGCGGACGGGUGAGUAACACGUGGAUAACCUACCUAUAAGACUGGGAUAACUUCGGGAAACCGGAGCUAAUACCGGAUAAUAUUUUGAACCGCAUGGUUCAAAAGUGAAAGACGGUCUUGCUGUCACUUAUAGAUGGAUCCGCGCUGCAUUAGCUAGUUGGUAAGGUAACGGCUUACCAAGGCAACGAUGCAUAGCCGACCUGAGAGGGGGAUCGGCCACACUGGAACUGAGACACGGUCCAGACUCCUACGGGAGGCAGCAGUAGGGAAUCUUCCGCAAUGGGCGAAAGCCUGACGGGCAACGCCGCGUGAGUGAUGAAGGUCUUCGGAUCGUAAAACUCUGUUAUUAGGGAAGAACAUAUGUGUAAGUAACUGUGCACAUCUUGACGGUACCUAAUCAGAAAGCCACGGCUAACUACGUG